rnacentral:rRNA from 1 species
GAUGAACGCUAGCGGCAGGCCUAAUACAUGCAAGUCGAACGGUAAAUAUUGUAGCAAUACGAUAUGAGAGUGACGUACGGGUGCGUAACACGUAUGCAACCUACCCAAAACUGGAGUAUAGCUCGGGGAAACCCGAAUUAACCCUUCAUAGUAUCACUGGAUGGCAUCAUUUGGUGAUUAAAACUCAGGUGGUUUUGGAUGGGCAUGCGUCUGAUUAGCUAGUUGGCGGGGUAAAGGCCCACCAAGGCGAUGAUCAGUAGGGGAACUGAGAGGUUGAUCCCCCACACUGGCACUGAGUUACGGGCCAGACUCCUACGGGAGGCAGCAGUACGGAAUAUUGGUCAAUGGAUGCAAGUCUGAACCAGCCAUGCCGCGUGCAGGAAGAAGGCCUUCUGGGUUGUAAACUGCUUUUGCCAGAGGAUAAAAUGGGCGUGCGCGCCUAAUUGAAGGUACCUGGUGAAUAAGCCACGGCUAACUACGUGCCAGCCGCCGCAGUAA